rnacentral:tRNA from 1 species
AUUACUAUAGUAUAAAAAGUAUAUUUGGUUUCGACCCAUAAGAUAAAUAAUUAUUUUAAUU